UGUAUUGCAAUGUUCAUGGAACAAUGGACCUGAAUGCCCAUAGCUUUACAGACAUCAAUUUUCCACAGAACUUAAGCAUU